rnacentral:rRNA from 1 species
GGGGGAUAACGUCCGGAACGGGCGCUAAUACCGCAUACGUCCUGAGGGAGAAAGUGGGGGAUCUUCGGACCUCACGCUAUCAGAUGAGCCUAGGUCGGAUUAGCUAGUUGGUGGGGUAAAGGCCUACCAAGGCGACGAUCCGUAACUGGUCUGAGAGGAUGAUCAGUCACACUGGAACUGAGACACGGUCCAGACUCCUACGGGAGGCAGCAGUGGGGAAUAUUGGACAAUGGGCGAAAGCCUGAUCCAGCCAUGCCGCGUGUGUGAAGAAGGUCUUCGGAUUGUAAAGCACUUUAAGUUGGGAGGAAGGGCAGUAAGUUAAUACCUUGCUGUUUUGACGUUACCAACAGAAUAAGCACCGGCUAACUUCGUGCCAGCAGCCGCGGUAAUACGAAGGGUGCAAGCGUUAAUCGGAAUUACUGGGCGUAAAGCGCGCGUAGGUGGUUCAGCAAGUUGGAUGUGAAAUCCCCGGGCUCAACCUGGGAACUGCAUCCAAAACUACUGAGCUAGAGUACGGUAGAGGGUGGUGGAAUUUCCUGUGUAGCGGUGAAAUGCGUAGAUAUAGGAAGGAACACCAGUG